rnacentral:piRNA from 1 species
UUGGNGUCCAAAGCCACAGCUCUUUGCAGU